AGGCUUUGAUCCUGGCUCAGGAUGAACGCUAGCGGCAGGCUUAAUACAUGCAAGUCGUGGGGCAGCAUGAGUAGCAAUACUUGAUGGCGACCGGCAAACGGGUGCGGAACACGUACACAACCUUCCGAUAAGUGGGGAAUAGCCCAGAGAAAUUUGGAUUAAUACCCCGUAACAUAUAGAGUAGGCAUCUUCUUUAUAUUAUAGCUUCGGCGCUUAUUGAUGGGUGUGCGUCUGAUUAGGUAGUUGGCGGGGUAACGGCCCACCAAGCCUACGAUCAGUAGCUGAUGUGAGAGCAUGAUCAGCCACACGGGCACUGAGACACGGGCCCGACUCCUACGGGAGGCAGCAGUAAGGAAUAUUGGACAAUGGGCGAAAGCCUGAUCCAGCCAUGCCGCGUGAAGGAUUAAGGUCCUCUGGAUUGUAAACUUCUUUUAUUUGGGACGAAAAAAGGGAAUUCUUUCCCACUUGACGGUACCUAGUGAAUAAGCACCGGCUACU
rnacentral:rRNA from 1 species